GUCCACACCGUAAACGAUGGAUACUAGGUGUAGGGAACAUUAAGUUUUCUGUGCCGUCGCAAACGCAAUAAGUAUCCCACCUGGGGAGUACGGCCGCAAGGUUGAAACUCAAAGGAAUUGACGGGGGCCCGCACAAGCAGUGGAGUAUGUGGUUUAAUUCGACGCAACGCGAAGAACCUUACCAGGGCUUGACAUACAGAUGAAUAUACUAGAGAUAGUAUAGCUCUUCGGAGCAUCUGUACAGGUGGUGCAUGGUUGUCGU
rnacentral:rRNA from 1 species